GACGAACGCUGGCGGCGUGCCUAAUACAUGCAAGUCGAACGCAGUGGGGACGGGUGAGUAACACGUGGGUAACCUCCCAUCAGAGGGGAUAACACUUUGAAACAGGUGCUAAACCGAUACUGCUGGAUGGAGCCGCGUUGCACUAGCUAGUGGGUGAGGUAACGGCUACCCAAGGCCACGAUGCAUAGCGGACCUGAGAGGCUGAUCGGCCACACUGGCAAUGAGACACGGCCCAGACUCCGACGGGAGGCCGUCGUGGGAAAUCUUUGUCAAUGGACGAAAGUCUGACCUAGUCACUCCGCGUGAGUGAAGAAGGUUUUCGGAUCGUAAAACGCUUUUGUUAGAGAAGCGGUAGCUAACCAGAAAGCCACGGCUAACUACGUGCCAGCAGCCGCGGUAAUUC
rnacentral:rRNA from 1 species